rnacentral:lncRNA from 1 species
AAUCGACCCAGCCUUGUUAUGGGUUGGGGUGGGGAGAAAUGUGUCCUCCUGAUGGCUGGGGAAGAAGAGGGGUUGGAUAUUUCUAGCCAGGGCCAUGCCAGGAGGCUGGUCACUCUGCAAGGGGAUGCAGAGGAAAGCGGUGCCCACUCACUCCAGAGGACCUUUCUCUCUUGGGCUAGAGAAAGGCCUAUUGGAGGAACCUGAGCAGGAGGGGCAACCUCCAAGUCCCAGAUCAUGUCUCUGUGGGGUCUGGUCUCCAAGAUGCCCCCAGAAAAAGUGCAGCGGCUCUAUGUCGACUUUCCCCAACACCUGCGGCAUCUUCUGGGUGACUGGCUGGAGAGCCAGCCCUGAGCAUAUAUCAGAGGGACCCCCUGAAGCUGGUGGCCACUUUCAGACAAAUACUUCAAGGAGAGAAAAAAGCUGUUAUGGAACAGUUCCGCCACUUGCCAAUGCCUUUCCACUGGAAGCAGGAAGAACUCAAGUUUAAGACAGGCUUGCGGAGGCUGCAGCACCGAG